AAUAAAAAUAUCUUUGGUUGGGGCAACCACGAAGAAAAAAAAACCUUCGUCCUUUUUAAAAAAUUAACAAAUUUAAAAAUUUUAACUAUAAAAACAAAAGACCCAGAAUAUACUGAGUAAAGAAAAAAGUUACCGCAGGGAUAACAGCGUUAUUCUCUUUAAGAGUCCGUAUUGACAAGAGAGUUUGCGACCUCGAUGUUGGACCGGGGCACCUUAGAGGUGCAACAACCUCUAAAAGUAGGUCUGUUCGACCUUUAAAGCCCUACGCGAUCUGAGUUCAGACCGACGCAAGUCAGGUCAGUUUCUAUCUA
rnacentral:rRNA from 1 species